AUUGAACGCUGGCGGCAUGCUUUACACAUGCAAGUCGAACGGCAGCGCGGGGGCAACCCUGGCGGCGAGUGGCGAACGGGUGAGUAAUACUUCGGAACGUGCCCAGUAGCGGGGGAUAACGCAGCGAAAGUUGUGCUAAUACCGCAUACGCUCUACGGAGGAAAGAGGGGGAUCGCAAGACCUCUCACUAUUGGAGCGGCCGAAGCCUGAUUAGCUAGUUGGUGGGGUAAAGGCUCACCAAGGCUACGAUCAGUAGCUGGUUUGAGAGAACGACCAGCCACACUGGGACUGAGACACGGCCCAGACUCCUACGGGAGGCAGCAGUGGGGAAUUUUGGACAAUGGGCGGAAGCCUGAUCCAGCCAUGCCGCGUGAGUGAAGAAGGC
rnacentral:rRNA from 1 species